rnacentral:rRNA from 1 species
GACGAACGCUGGCGGCGUGCUUAACACAUGCAAGUCGAACGGAAAGGCCCUGCUUUUGUGGGGUGCUCGAGUGGCGAACGGGUGAGUAACACGUGAGUAACCUGCCCUUGACUUUGGGAUAACUUCAGGAAACUGGGGCUAAUACCGGAUAGGAGCUCCUGCUGCAUGGUGGGGGUUGGAAAGUUUCGGCGGUUGGGGAUGGACUCGCGGCUUAUCAGCUUGUUGGUGGGGUAGUGGCUUACCAAGGCUUUGACGGGUAGCCGGCCUGAGAGGGUGACCGGCCACAUGGGGACUGAGAUACGGCCAAGACCCCUACGGGAGGCAGCAGUGGGGAAUAUUGCACAAGGGGCGGAAGCCUGAGGCAGCAACGCCGCGGGGGGGAUGAGGGCCUUGGGGUUGUAAACCGCUUUCGCCUGUGACGAAGGGUGAGUGACGGUAAUGGGUAAAGAAGCACCGGCUAACUACG